CCUACGGGAGGCUGCAGUGAGGAAUAUUGGUCAAUGGGCGAGAGCCUGAACCAGCCAAGUCGCGUGAGGGAAGACGGUCCUAUGGAUUGUAAACCUCUUUUGCCGGGGAGCAAAACGCGGUACGUGUACCGCAUCGAGAGUACCCGGAGAAAAAGCAUCGGCUAACUCCGUGCCAGCAGCCGCGGUAAUACGGAGGAUGCGAGCGUUAUCCGGAUUUAUUGGGUUUAAAGGGUGCGCAGGCGGCGAGUUAAGUCAGCGGUAAAAUUUCGGGGCUCAACCCCGACGAGCCGUUGAAACUGGCGUGCUAGAGUGGGCGAGAAGUAUGCGGAAUGCGUGGUGUAGCGGUGAAAUGCAUAGAUAUCACGCAGAACUCCGAUUGCGAAGGCAGCAUACCGGCGCCCAACUGACGCUCAGGCACGAAAGCGUGGGUAUCGAACAGGAUUAGAUACCCGAGUAGUC
rnacentral:rRNA from 1 species